AUCUCCUCUCUCCCAGUUCAACGUCAACUACCCCCCUUACCCCUUACCCCACUUUCUCUCUCUCUCUCUCUCUCUCUCUCUCUCACUAUCUAUCUAUAAAUACCCACCCCUCCUCUCACGUUUUCUUUGUUAGCUUGCUAGGCAUUUUGGAUAACGAGAGAAAGUUUGAGUCUUGAGAGAGAGAGAGAGAGAGAGAGAGAGAGAAGGUGAGGAGUAGGUGGUGCUGUGGCUGUUUCUGGGUUGCGUGGAAGCACAACGUGUGUUGUUGUUUUUGACUUUUGGAAGCACAAUUGCAAUGGAGGUGGAUGGCAAAUCUGUGGUAGCAGGACCUACGAAUGUUAUUUUUCUGUCGACUAUUUUGGGCCGAGAUGGGUCAACUUCUGUUCACAAAUGUGACUGGAAAUGCCAGAACGAGCAUGUCUGCGCGAAUAUGUAUUGCUGCAAGCUAACUGGACUCACUCACAUCUGCGACAAAAACUGUGACCAGAGGAUCCUGUAUGAUAACCAUAGCUCCCUUUGUCGAGCAAGCGGAAAGAUUUUCCCCCUUACACCAGCAGAGGAACAGGCCGUGAGAGGGGUCCGGAGGAAGCUUGAGUCAGAGAACUCUUCUGCAGACAGUUGUUCUUCUAAGCGCCGACGGGAUGCCCAGUUCCAUCCUUCUCCUUUCGAGAGAUCCUUCUCUACAGUCAGUCUGAUCUGCAGCAAAGUUGGAGAUGGCAUGGAUAUGAGCUAGAGUUAUAAGAUAAAUGGAAGACUUUUAUUGCUUAUCUUUAUCUUGUUCCUUUGAAACCUUUCCUUAUUUUUCAUUCGUCGAACAGACAUGGAUGAUGAACUUGAUGAGUACUUAAGUGGCGGACCUAAUGUGUCCUACCCGUCUGUAGGAACAAUCUAUAUUUGUAGUCCUGUUUACUGCAAUUUAACUCAAACUUUAGCUUGACUUAAACAAGGAAUGUCAAUUCGGGGGUUGGUCAGGGUUUGUUUAACUGCUUAUGAAUCUUGGAUUUAUGUUUCUUCUUGCUAACCUUACUGCUUCGAAUGUGAGCUAUAUUCAGUACAGGGUGCUCUCAGGUCGUUUGUACGACUUGUGUCAUGAUUUAGCUGUGACUUUGUUGUCUUAUCCCAUUAAUUAUUUUGCCUUAUUAGGAACACUUCCUAUUGAUUUGCAUUACAUGAUGGUUGUAAUGCAGAAAUGUAAUUAAUUAUAUGUAAUAAUAAGUGGUUCCCUUAGUUACUUCUUUAUUUGGAUAUGUACUAUCUUUCAUUUUUGUUUACUGCUGGUGCAUGCAGCAUAGGUUGUUGUUGAGUUACUCUGCCUAGUUUGGUACAGGUUACACAGGAAUGAUCUGGUUUUCACACCUUUGAUUUAUUUUCAUUAUCGUACUUUGUUAUUUAUUUAUUUAUUUUUGCUUUGGUUAUUUGGGAGUAUGGAUCUGAAGUUAAUGUCAAUUUUGCAGGGCUUGAAGCAUGUGCUAUCAAGGAGACAUUAAAUAUGCUUGUAAUUGCAUCACUUAUUGGCGAAGAAAGCUACACCUGGUGAUGCUGACGAGUUUACCUGGCUGUCCUAAAUAUGUCAUGUAGAAAUGAUUGCACAUCAGAGAGACAUGUUAGGUCAGUCAAGCUUUCGAAUUCAAGUUCAAAUUUAACUGUGCUAGCUACGUGCACAAUAUGAUACAACUUCGACCAUACGGUAAUUAUUUGAUCCUUUCUGUUUGCCUUAUUGGUGGGGAAAACAGAGCAAUUUCUGCUCAGCCAUCAACGCAAAUUGCGCGAAUAUUCAGUUGCUUUUGAGCUCACACUAUGUUCAUCUGAUCUUACGCUGGUGGUUGGUGCCCUCCUUUUUCCGUGGCAGGUCCAAAUAAGUUGUGUUUGAGUUGUCCUGCCCAUGGCCUAUUUGGUUCGUUAAUAUUUUCCAUGGAAGGCAAAUCCUUUUGAGCCUGCAUGUCUGAAAGUCACUGGGCUAAGCAAGCAAUUAGGACCAAAUUUGGCUGAUUAGGUAGAAAGUGCAUUGAAAGUUGUAACUAGGAUAUUCCGUGUUACUAUAUUAGGUCAGUUAAUUUAGUUAUAAGUACUGUUAAAUUCAAACCCUUCUUAUUCUAGAGGAUUUUCGAAUCUCUUAAUAUGGUGAAAGCCCUCUUCUGUUAUAAAUUUUGUGGUGAUGCCAAGAUAUUUUGAUUACUUUGGCAUUAUCCGUUUGUGUACAUUAUAAUUGACUCAGUUUUAUGAGUAGUAAUUUCCUCUUAAUUUUC